rnacentral:rRNA from 1 species
UACGUAGGGAGCAAGCGUUGUCCGGAAUCAUUGGGCGUAAAGCGCGCGUAGGCGGCCUCGUAAGUCCGUUGUGAAAGUCAAAGGCUCAACCUUUGAAAGCCGAUGGAUACUGUGAGGCUAGAGUCCGGAAGAGGCGAAGUGGAAUUCCUGGUGUAGCGGUGGAAUGCGCAGAUAUCAGGAGGAACACCAAUAGCGAAGGCAGCUCGCUGGGACGGUACUGACGCUAAGGCGCGAAAGCGUGGGGAGCGAACGAGGA